AAACCCUACUCUUUAAAAAACCGUGAACUCCGCCUGCUCUUCUCUCUACCUCUCUCACACACUCCUGAAACUAAAAAUCUCUCUUCUCCUAUGGCUAUCACAAUCCAGGCCAGGCCAUCAAGGCACGCCAGAUCUUCAACAGUCGUGGUAAUCCCACAGUCGAGGUCGUUGUGACAACCUCAGAUGGCACUUUUUAUAGAGCCGCUAUUCCAAGUGGUGCAUCCACUGGAAUUUAUGAGGCACUUGAACUAAGGGAUGGAGGUUCAGACUACCUUGGAAAAGGUGUAUCAAAGUGGUAGGUGAUGAAUUUUGAUAAAUGUCAAGUUUUGCUGAAGGAGCUUACAGGUAUUGAUAUAAAUUUCAUGUAAAAUUGUGAGUGGUGUUAAUGCAUUCACUUAAAAGUGAUUGUCUAUUCAGUACUAUUAGAAAUAAUUCUUGCUGCUGGCUGGGUCAUGUAAUUAAUUGGACGCGUCGUAGACAUAAAAGAAAUCCAUUUAUGAAUGAGGAGGAGGAGGAAUACAUGUUGCGUACACACCUUUUUUUAAGUUUUAUAGGCUCUAUUCAGUAUUGUUAGUGGAAGCAAUUGGACUUGCUUGGUGAUUUUGUUGAAGGUAGAGAUAGAGUUAUUUUCUGUUUUUUGCUCCCAUGCCUUGCUGCUUGCUUUGUUGUAUAUGUUCUUGCUGUUGGUUGUGCAGGGUGAAUGGGAAAAGGAGUUGCCUUUGCUGGGUUUUUUGGUUCAAUAAGAAAAAGGAGGAAGCUUUAUAUGUUUUUGGUCGUGCUUUCUUUGAGUUUCUUUGAGAGGUUGUUCUGACUGCCGUGGAGAGUUGUUGGUGGUCUUGGCCCUCUCAAGUUUGUGGGAAAGGAGGGAACUUUUUGUAUUUUUGGGCUAGGAAAGGGUUCUGUUUAUGGAGUUAUGGAGGGCUGGAACAGUGGUAGUUUUUGUAUUUGUUUUGUUACUUUUUUUCUUUUCUAUCUCAUUUGUCUGUAUUUAAUUGUGCUUAAGAAUAGCCAAUGCUAUUGUCCAUUGUGACUAGAUAAAUAAAUCACUUUGUUGUAUACUGCAGAAUAUGAGCAGCAAGAUAGAGUCACAAAAAAUUGCCCCCUUUUGUAAAAUAUGUUGCUAUCUAAUUUUAUAAAGAACAUUUUUUUACUGUUGAA